rfam:Canis lupus familiaris chromosome 14, whole genome shotgun sequence.
CGGGGGAGGCCGGAUCCUGGGCUGUGUCCCGGCGCCCUGUGCUCCGGAGCCUGUGCUGUUGGAUUCGUGCUCCUGCCCCGCAGCCCCCA